CGUAUGAAUAAAACCGAGUACUUGCUCAUACUCAACCCGACUUGAGAAAAGUAAAGUCUCUGAGCAUUUACUCAAAACCGUAUGAAUAAAACGGUACUUUGCUCAGAGUAAGUUCGAAUUUCGAACUUAGCUUUUACUCUGUCAAAAUUUUUGUUUUUGUUUUGGCUAUCCGAUUUUUGCGCAGCAGCCAACAGUUCCUUUGAAGAUCUCAAGCAUAAAUUUUGCUUGAGAAAGAAAUCAACCGCCUGUGCCGGCUUCUGAUGAACUCACACACCCCGGCGAAGCUAUUCAAUCACGUCUGCCGGGAAUAAGUCAGUGAGCGCAAGAAACUGCAACCAUCGUGUGCCGCCUGCAAAGACUGCAUUUGAUACAUGAAGGAUGUUGCUGCAGUUUUUCUCAUGUGACGGCUGCCGGUUCGUCCACAAAGAUCUUACCAAUCAAACGGUGACCGUACCCUCCCAGAACAAGCUAAAUUCCACUGAACGAUAACGUCGAGCUUAGUUCCUGUAGGGUCGAUAUGUAACAGCACCAGGAUUAUCGUAAGAAUGAAGUUAAACCGGCAGCAUCUUCAUUAACAACCAACCAGCAUUAGCAGCAUCAGCAACAAAAGGAAAUUGCAUUGAAUCCAACACGUCUGUGUGUUAUAUGUUAAUUCAAGAUGCCACAGGUGACCGGAUUGGCACUAGUGAAUGAGAAACUAUAGGACUAGGGAAGUGCAUCGUAGUUAACGCAGGCAUUGGAAACAAGAUUGAAAUUUAAAGAAAUAAACGUCGUUACGAAAAUUAA